rnacentral:rRNA from 1 species
AGAGUUUGAUCAUGGCUCAGAGUGAACGCUGGCGGCAGGCCUAAUACAUGCAAGUCGAACGGCAGCACAGCAGAGCUUGCUCUGUGGGUGACGAGUGGCGGACGGGUGAGGAAUACGUGGGAAUCUGCCCAGUCGUGGGGAUAACGUAGGGAAACUUACGCUAAUACCGCAUGCGCCCUUCGGGGGGAAAGCCGGGGGACCUUCGGGCCUGGCGCGAUUGGAUGAGCCCACGUCGGAUUAGCUAGUUGGCGGGGUAAAGGCCCACCAAGGCGACGAUCCGUAGCUGGUCUGAGAGGAUGAUCAGCCACACUGGAACUGAGACACGGUCCAGACUCCUACGGGAGGCAGCAGUAGGGAAUAUUGGACAAUGGGCGCAAGCCUGAUCCAGCCAUGCCGCGUGAGUGAAGAAGGCCCUCGGGUUGUAAAGCUCUUUUGUCCGGAAAGAAAAGCGCCGGGUUAAUACCCUGGUGUCCUGACGGUACCGGAAGAAUAAGCACCGGCUAACUUCGUG